GACGAACGCUGGCAGCGUGCUUAACACAUGCAAGUCGAGCGGUAAGGCCCUUUCGGGGGUACGACGAGCGGCGAACGGGUGAGUAACACGUGGGUGACCUGCCCUCAGCUCUGGGAGUAAGCCUGGGAGGACCGGGUCUAAUACCGGAUAUGACUCCAUGACGCAUGUUGUGGGGUGGAAAGCCUUGUGCGGCUGAGGAUGGGCCCGCGGCCUAUCAGCUUGUU
rnacentral:rRNA from 1 species